UUCUGCGCAUCACGAAAAAUGCAAACACAGGCUAUAAACAGCCUUAAAGAAAGAACAACCCAAAAUUCUGCAUUGAUGAUCUACCAUCUGCCACUACGGAGAGCGAAUAAACAACCGUCAGUAUGAUUACUUUAAUUUUACAUUCGAAAAGACGAAAAUAGAUGAAAACUUGCCAAAUAGUCCUCCCUCACACCAAAUUUGGUUUGAAUAAAGUUGGAGUGUAGCCGCGUAGGUAAGCAAUUGCCAGUAACAGCCGGUCGAGCAAAUUCAAUAAUUUCUGCAUCGAUUAACAAUAAGAGGUAACUAAGCAAGCAUAUUUACCAAUUAAAUAUCUGGACGAGGAAAGCUAAAGACAAAAAAAUAUGCUGAAAUGUCCUACAAAAAGAAAUUCAAUUUAUAUAUGCUGAUCAACAUAUGCCUUUAUACAUUUGAACAAUUCAAUAAGAGUCAAAACCGUUAGCAAUAAAGAAAAUUUACUUCUUUGUUCAAUGAAGGCAAGAUAUGAAUGAAAAACAACGAACAAAAAUAUUGUUAUUGAUAAAAGUAGGCAGAAGUUUGAAACUUGUUACCCGAUAUUUUCUCAAGCAAGACUAAAUAGUGGUCCGAUAUCCAUUCAUACUCUUUCUCCCCCACUUACUGCAAUAUCGGACACAAUUCAUCCCCCGCCC
rnacentral:lncRNA from 1 species